CGUAACUGGUCUGAGAGGAUGAUCAGUCACACUGGAACUGAGACACGGUCCAGACUCCUACGGGAGGCAGCAGUGGGGAAUAUUGGACAAUGGGCGAAAGCCUGAUCCAGCCAUGCCGCGUGUGUGAAGAAGGCCUUCGGAUUGUAAAGCACUUUAAGUUGGGGAGGAAGGGCAGUAACCUAAGACGUUAUUGUUUUGACGUGACCGACAGAAUAAGCACCGGCUAACUUCGUGCCAGCAGCCGCGGCAAUACGAAGGGUGCAAGCGUUAAUCGGAAUUACUGGGGCGUAAAGCGCCGCGUAGGUGG
rnacentral:rRNA from 1 species